AUUGAACGCUGGCGGCAGGCCUAACACAUGCAAGUCGAACGAGUGGCGGACGGGUGAGUAAUGUCUGGGAAACUGCCCGAUGGAGGGGGAUAACUACUGGAAACGGUAGCUAAUACCGCAUCCCAUCGGAUGUGCCCAGAUGGGAUUAGCUAGUAGGUGGGGUAACGGCUCACCUAGGCGACGAUCCCUAGCUGGUCUGAGAGGAUUACCCGCCAUACUGGAACUGAGACACGGUCCAGAUUCCGACGGGAGGCAGCAGUGGGGAAUAUUGCACAAUGGGCGCAAGCCUGAUGCAGCCAUGCCGCGUGUAUGAAGAAGGCCUUCGGGUUGUAAAGUACUUUCAGCGGGGAGGCGUUACCCGCAGAAGAAGCACCGGCUAACUCCGUGCCAGCCGCCGCGGUAAUUC
rnacentral:rRNA from 1 species